UACGUAGGUGGCAAGCGUUGUCCGGAUUUACUGGGCGUAAAGAGCGCGCAGGCGGCUGAUUAAGUCGAAUGUGAAAGCCCCCGGCUCAACUGGGGAGGGUCAUUCGAUACUGAUCAACUUGAAGGCAGGAGAGGGUAGUGGAAUUCCCGGUGUAGUGGUGAAAUGCGUAGAUAUCAGGAGGAACACCGGUGGCGAAGGCGGGUCUCUGGGCCGUAACUGACGCUGAGGAGCGAAAGCAUGGGGAGCGAACAGG
rnacentral:rRNA from 1 species